UACAGAGGUCCCAAGCGUUGUUCGGAUUCACUGGGCGUAAAGGGUGCGUAGGUGGUCGGGUAAGUUUGAUGUGAAAUCUCCGGGCUUAACCCGGAAAUGGCAUUGAAUACUAUUCGGCUGGAGGGUUGGAGGGGGGACUGGAAUUCUCGGUGUAGCAGUGAAAUGCGUAGAUAUCGUGAGGAAGACCAGUGGCGAAGGCGGAUCUCUGGACAGUUCCUGACGCUGAGGCGCGAAGGCCAGGGGAGCAAACGGG
rnacentral:rRNA from 1 species